AGUCCAAAAUGUGAACUGGAGACUCUGAGUUUGGUGAGCUGCAAUUUGUCAGAGAUCAGCUGUUCUUCUCUGGCCUCAGCUCUGAAGUCCAACCCCUCCCUCCAGAAAAAUCUGAAACAUCUGGACUUGAGCUGGAACCCUGAUCUUCAGGACUCAGGAGUUGAGCAUCUGUGUGGUUUUCUGCAGAGUCCACUCUGUCGUCUGCAGACUCUGAGCUUGUCUAACU